GACCCGGUGGUGAAAAUGUACCACACCCGUUCUCUAUGCAAGAAUUGGCUGUCCGUUUAGGUGGGAGUCCCUUGUUCGAACCAAGGCUGGGUCA